AUUGAACGCUAGCGGGAUGCUUUACACAUGCAAGUCGAACGAGUGGCGGACGGGUGAGUAAUAUAUCGGAACGUGCCCAGUAGCGGGGGAUAACUACUCGAAAGAGUGGCUAAUACCGCAUACUCUUGGAGCGGCCGCUAUCGGAUUAGCUUGUUGGGGGGGUAAAGGCUCACAAAUGCCACGAUCCGUAGCUGGUUGGAGAGGACGACCGACCAAACUGGGACAUAGACACGGCCCAGACGCCUACGGGAGGCAGCAGUGGGGAAGUUUGGACAGUGGGGGAAAACCUGAUCCAGCCAUCCCGCGUGUAUGAGAAGGCCUUCGGGUUGUAAAGUACUUUUGGCAGAGAAGCGGUAUCUGCAGAAUAAGCACCGGCUAACUACGUGCCAGCAGCCGCGGUAAUUC
rnacentral:rRNA from 1 species